UUUUGAAAAUUAUAUUGCACGUCUACUCACUCUGUAAUUCAAUGGGAAUGAAAUACACAUAUUUGCAUCAAUGAAAGUGACACAAUUUGAAUCCAGAUGCUGACGACCCUCAAUUCUUCUUCUUCAUAUUUAGUGUAAAUCCAAACAGCAACGCUCCUGAGUUUGUGUCCCACGUCACCUUCAGUCCGCUCAGAGCAGAGGAAUCAUUUCCAUAGAGAGGAGGCUUUGCAUCGUCAGCUGAUCCUCCACUGAACUGAGAAGCUUUAUAGUCCUGUGACUCCAACUCUGCAGGACUCAGACCCGUCAGUCCACCACAACCACCAUGACUCUCAUCACCCUCCUCAUCUGGACGCUGGCCUGCUGCAGCUUCACAGGAUGCAGAGGCCAGGUGACUGUGACUCAGCCUCCAGUCGUGACAUUUACUCCAGGAUCCACUGUCACACUGACCUGUACAACCAACCUCAAAGUUGACACUUGUAGUUCUGUUGAUUGUAUGUACUGGUACCAGCAGAAACCUGGACAGGCUCCACAGCUACUAAUAUACAGGGUGAGCAAUAGACAUUCAGGGAUACCUGCUCGGUUUAGUGGAAGUGGAAGCAGCUCUGACUUCUCUUUGACCAUCAGUGGAGUUCAGAGUGAAGAUGCAGCAGUUUACUACUGUCUGAGCGGCCAUCUAGUAAAUGGAGCGGCUGUGUUGACACAGUGAUUUACAGUCGUACAAAAACCUCCCUCAGUCAGACGCAGAGACAUGAGCUGUUACAGCAGGAAGAGAGUGGGACACAGACCAGUGAACACAGAGACUGACAGUAACCUCACCAAGCACAACAGACACAAUCACACACUUUCAGACCUAAGAUGAAGCUCUUCAAAAUUUUAUUUUACUCACUACAUCACUUUAUUCCUACAAAUCAAUGAACAGUUUGUAAUAUUUAAAUAUCAUUUCACCUCAAGCUUUGCUUAUUCUCUUAUUUUCCACAGUCAACUCUGUAAAAUUUUACCAAGUUUGUACAAAAUAGAUUUUCUCAAGUAAAGUAUUUGCAGUAAAUAAA